UCAAUAAUAUAAAUAAUAGACAUAAAUUCAAAAAAAAAUUACUGUAUGUUUGGUUCAAUGUAAUGGUAUAGCCAUUACAACCCUAUUCCGUGGGCCCACCUUAAACACCUGUUUGGUUCAAUGGAAUGCCCUAUUAUGGGCUUAUUCCAUUACAGGCCUAUGCAAGGAAAUUGUUUGAUUUCUAUUCUGUUUCCUCACCACCGAUUACUGAUUCGGUGUUUAAGGAGACCAUCACCACAAAAAUGAUCCCCACUUUGCCCUCUCCCAUUUUCUCACCUGAAACACCAAUUACGCUCCCAUAAACACCACUUCGCAACCCAAAAUUUACACUUCUUCUGCUACUGCUGCCGCCAUUUCUGCUUUUAUUUUCAACCUUACCUCUCUUUGCUUACUUUCAAGAUAUGGAUAUGCUUCCUUCUUUUAUUCUUUAUCCACUUAUUAAUGGUGGAAGCCAUCUUUCUAAUUUCCACUCUUUUUCUUCUUCUUCUAACACCAUUGCUACCCAUAUCGAAGCCUUAAGUAACAAACCCAUGUCCAUGCCUGUUAGAGGAAAGGGAAAAAGAGACCACCGCUUCGAUAAUGUUGACGAUACCUUGAUUUUGUUCAGUAAGAUGACUGAAAAGUACCCAAAGCCUUCAAUUGUGGAAUUCAAUUAUUAGGAGCCAUUGUUAAGAUAAAACAUUAUGCCAUUGUUGUUUCUAAGUAUAGACGGAUCGAAUUAUUGGGAGUUUCCCAUAAUGUUUAUUCUAGGAGCAUCUUGAUUAAUUGCUUUUGAAUUAGGUCAAAUUUUGGGUUGUCUGUUUUAGGGAAAAUGCUGAAGUUAGUGCUGUAACAUUUUCAACUUUGAUAAAUGGGCUCUGUAAUCAAAGUAAUAUUUUUGAGGCCGUUUGUAUGUUCGAUGAAAUGACUGAGAGAGGGUAUCAACCUGAUUUGGUUGUUUAUAAUACAAUACUUAAGGGGUUGUGUAAGACCGGCAAUAUUGAUAGAGCUCUUAGGUUUCUAAGACUGAUGGAAGGCUGAGGUUAUGAACCCAAUAUUGUUCUUAACUUGUUGUCUUAGGCUAUGGUUUUACUUGCCUUUUCAACUAAGGAAACACUUUCAAAUGAUGUAACUUUUCAUCUUAAUAGCCAAAAUCCUGCCCUUUGGAUGCAAUUUUUAUGCAAUAACUGAUCUAGGUGCUGAAUUGGGAAAUGGUGUGGAGAAUAAUUACAUGCAUCCCUUGGGGAUAAAUUGAUCGAAGAAUGCAAGUAUACCAUUGGUUACUGCUGCAAUUGUGCCUUCGCCUACAUUAUUAUGGAGAUUCAAGGUUUGUUUUCAAUGAUAUUUUUGGUGUGUUUAUUAUCCAUUUACUUCUUUUUAAUAAAUAUAAAGUGGUUAAAUUCAAAGAAAAACGAAUUCCUCAGAUGUAACUUGUAUCUUUCAGUUAUUUCUCAACCUUCUAGAAUCUUAAUCUAUUUAGAUAUCCAAGUACUAUUGUUCUUACUCUAGGGUUUCAUUUAUGGGAAGGUUAGUCUUAUUUUAUAUUUUAGUUGUUUCAAGUUAUACAGUUCGUAUUUGAUGUUAAUAAUGGUUAACAAAGGGCUACAAGAUUCAGUUAUGUUGCUUACGUUCUCAUUACGUAUGCCAAAAUAUUGCAGACUGGAUGGCAAUCUGUAAUGAGAAUGAGUGUAGACUUACGGGACCUAUUUCUAUAUGAGGCAUUUUUGUAUUAUAAUCCUCUUCUUCUAGUGGUUAGUUAAAAUUUUAUGAUAUGUAAAAAAAAAUUAUGUUAUACUAACUUUUUCAAUAUGAGUGCAAUUUUAUGUUGUGUGUUUAA